rnacentral:rRNA from 1 species
CUAUACAUGCAGUCGAACGCUUCUUUUUCCACCGGAGCUUGCUCCACCGGAAAAAGAAGAGUGGCGAACGGGUGAGUAACACGUGGGUAACCUGCCCAUCAGAAGGGGAUAACACUUGGAAACAGGUGCUAAUACCGUAUAACAAUCAAAACCGCAUGGUUUUGAUUUGAAAGGCGCUUUCGGGUGUCGCUGAUGGAUGGACCCGCGGUGCAUUAGCUAGUUGGUGAGGUAACGGCUCACCAAGGCCACGAUGCAUAGCCGACCUGAGAGGGUGAUCGGCCACAUUGGGACUGAGACACGGCCCAAACUCCUACGGGAGGCAGCAGUAGGGAAUCUUCGGCAAUGGACGAAAGUCUGACCGAGCAACGCCGCGUGAGUGAAGAAGGUUUUCGGAUCGUAAAACUCUGUUGUUAGAGAAGAACAAGGAUGAGAGUAACUGUUCAUCCCUUGACGGUAUCUAACCAGAAAGCCACGGCUAACUACGUGCCAGCAGCCGCGGUAAUACGUAGGUGGCAAGCGUUGUCCGGAUUUAUUGGGCGUAAAGCGAGCGCAGGCGGUUUCUUAAGUCUGAUGUGAAAGCCCCCGGCUCAACCGGGGAGGGUCAUUGGAAACUGGGAGACUUGAGUGCAGAAGAGGAGAGUGGAAUUCCAUGUGUAGCGGUGAAAUGCGUAGAUAUAUGGAGGAACACCAGUGGCGAAGGCGGCUCUCUGGUCUGUAACUGACGCUGAGGCUCGAAAGCGUGGGGAGCAAACAGGAUUAGAUACCC